AGAGAUAAAAAAGAAAAAAAAUAAUUGCAGACAUACUCAGUAGGCCUGGCCAACUCAUCUUACUGAAAAUAACUCUUAUAAGUUAAGAUCCAAACAUUAUACCUUGCCUCAUUUAGCACUGCUAACACUUGCUUCUGAAGUGUCAGUACUUCACCAGGUGCCUUUUUACUAUAGCCUCCACACCUAAACAUUGUCAUAGUUCAGACUUAGAUGUGGUUGAAUGCUAAAACAAACAACAUAAUAUGCUUCCAUAUAUAAAUUCAGCAUUCUUGCCUCAAUUUCAAAUCAUUAAUCAUUCAAUCCCCU
rnacentral:lncRNA from 1 species